CCUACGGGUGGCAGCAGUGAGGAAUAUUGGUCAAUGGACGCAAGCCUGAACCAGCCAAGUAGCGUGCAGGAUGACUGCCCUACGGGUUGUAAACUUCUUUUAUAAAAGAAUAAAGUGCAGCACGUGUACCUUUUUGUAUGUACUUUAUGAAUAAGGAUCGGCUAACUCCGUGCCAGCAGCCGCGGUAAUACGGAGGAUGCGAGCGUUAUCCGGAUUUAUUGGGUUUAAAGGGUGCGUAGGCGGAGCGUUAAGUCAGUGGUCAAAUUGAGGGGCUCAACCCCUUCCCGCCAUUGAAACUGGCGCUCUUGAGUGGAAGAGAAGUAGGCGGAAUGUGUGGUGUAGCGGUGAAAUGCAUAGAGAUCACGCAGAACCCCGAUUGCGAAGGCAGCAUGCCGGAUUCCGACUGACGAUGAAGCACGAAAGCGUGGGGAUCGAACAGGAUUAGAUACCCUUGUAGUC
rnacentral:rRNA from 1 species